AUGUCACCUGGAUGGCACACAGAGCUGGGACAGUGACACCGAUGUCACCUGGGUGGCACCUGGAGUGACACAGGUGUCACACGGAGCUGGGACAGUGACACCAACGUCACCUGGAUGUGACAUGGACACGGAGGUGACACGGGUGUCACACGGAGCUGGCACGGUGACACGGAGGUGACACGGGUGUCACACGGAGCUGGGACAGUGACACCAGUGUCACCUGGAUGUGACACGGACACGGAGGUGACACAGGUGUCACACGGAGCUGCCACGAGGACACGGAGGUGACAUGAGGACACGGAGGUGACACGGCUGUCACAUGGAGCUGGCACAGUGACAGAUGUGACACGAGGACACGGCUGUCACCUGGGUGUCACCCGGGUGUGACACGAGGACACGGAGGUGACACGGGUGUCACCCGGAGCUGGCACGGUGACACCGGUGUCACCCGGAAGUGACACAGAGCUGUCACCCGGAGCUGGCACGGUGACACCCGUGUCACCCGGCUGUCACCCGGUGCCACCCCAAUAAAGUCCCAGCGCUGGUGA